rnacentral:tRNA from 1 species
GUUAAUGUAGCUUACAUAAAGUGUGGCACUGAAAAUGCUAAGACAGAUUUUGAAACAUCUCAUGAACA